UCCUAUAAAGCUGUGUACUUCUUUCAAAUU
rnacentral:sRNA from 1 species